rnacentral:tRNA from 1 species
UCCGGGGUAACUCAAUGGUAGAGUGGCUCCCUGUUAAGGAGUAAGUUGUGGGUUCGAGUCCCACCCCCGGAGCCA